ACCAAAAAAUGGUCAAAAAAGAGCAAUAAUCAAAGUAAGUAACAACAAUAUUAAAACAAAUAGGAAUUUUAUAUCAAUUGGAAGGAUUGAUGAGAAGCAACAAGGUGGAUAUUAAAUAACAACAACCAAGAGCAAGUUCACAUUGAUUGGAAUGAUAAAUGGAUAACAACAACAACAACAACAAAAUGAAAAAGAAUUUAUAGAAUGAAGAAAGGUGGGCAAGAAUUCGUGGCAUGAAUAUAGUUUUGAAUAUGAUGGGCAAAGUUAAAGUGGACAU
rnacentral:lncRNA from 1 species